rnacentral:rRNA from 1 species
CAAUAGCGUAUAUUUAAGUUGUUGCAGUUAAAAAGCUCGUAGUUGGAUUUCGGGUGUGAACGACCGGUCCGUCUUUGAUGUGUACUGGUUGGUUGCGCCUUAUUGUCGAGGACGUGGUUCUAGCUUUCAUUAGCCGGGACACGGAGUCGGCAGCGUUACUUUGAGAAAAUUAGAGUGUUCAAAGCAGGCUAUCGCUCUGAAUACUACAGCAUGGAAUAACACGAUAGGACUCCGAGCCUAUUCUGUUGGUCUUCGGGACCGGAGUAAUGAUUAAGAGGGACAGUUGGGGGCAUUCGUAGUCCGAUGUCAGAGGUGAAAUUCUUGGAUUAUCGGAAGACGAACAUCUGCGAAAGCAUUUGCCAAGGAUGUUUUCAUUAA